AACGUACGCUGGCGGCACGCCUAACACAUGCAAGUCGAACGCAGUAGCAAUACUGAGUGGCAAACGGGUGAGUAUAAUGUGGGAAUCUGCCUUUUGGUUUGGAAUAACACGGGGAAACUUGUGCUAAUACCGAAUAAGCCCUUACGGGGAAAGUUUUAACGCCGAAAGAUGAGCCUGCACUUGAUUAGCUAGUUGGUAAGGUAAAAGCUUACCAAGGCAACGAUCAAUAGCUGUUCUUAGAGGAAGACCAGCCACAUUGGGACUGAGACACGGCCCAGACUCCUACGGGAGGCAGCAGUGGGGAAUCUUGCACAAUGGGGGAAACCCUGAUGCAGCGAUGCCGCGUGAGUGAAGAAGGCCUUUGGGUUGUAAAACUCUUUCGUCGGGGAAGAAGAUCUGACGGUACUUGAUGAAUAAGCCACGGCUAAUUCCG
rnacentral:rRNA from 1 species